AUGAGGUUGGCACGGGCCCACCUCUCCAGCCUGCCCUGGUCCCUCUGGACGGCAUCCCUUCCCUCUGGUGUCAGCCGCAGCGCUCAGCUUGGUCUCACCUGCAGACUCGCUGAGGGCGCACUCGAUCCCGCUGUCCGUGUCGCCUACAAAGACGUUAAACAGCAGCGGUUCCAACAGCGAUCCCUGAGGAAUGCCUCUCGUCAGCAGGAGGCUCUGCUGCCAGGAGCCCAUCCUGCCAGGCAGGCCCAUCUUCACUUCAGCCUUCUGAAGCAUCUUCUGCCGGUAGUGUCACAGCUGACCUCUGCUGGCAGCCAAAGAAAUCGACCUCCACCCCACCUUCUCCCUCCCGUCCCACUCUAUUCUGUUGUUAGACCAAAGAUGUCAGGGGAGAGCGCGAACGCAGUCCCCCACUACCACAAAUUAUGCAGUCGAGUUUCCCGCAUUUGGGGAAAUCGCAGGGGUCAGCACACCCGGAGUGCAUGGGAUGAGCCUCGCCCUGGGAAAACCACCUGCCUGAUCAUGGUGUCUCCCCUGCCAGGUAAGUAUGCUUUCUGCUCCCGCCGACCCGCUCCCCACGCCAAGCCACCAGCCCGCACCGCGCGGCGACUCACGCCCCGGACACCCGCCCCGUGCCGCGGCUGUGCACCGCUUCCCUUUCCAAGAUUCCCGCACGGAGGCACACGCUGCUCCCAGUGGCUCCACGCGCGUUCCUUUCCUUGUUUAGUGCGCUCCCGUCAUGCCGCGCGCGGAGCGAUCUGCAUAACUGAUCUGCGUACUUACCUGCAUGGCCCUGCCCACCCCACUUUCCGCCCCCAACACGCUCUCACGGGGCGCUGCUUUCCUUGGCCACGCCCCCACUCACCGCCCCUGGCAGCCGGAAUCCAGUCGCCUCGCGCCACCUCUAUGGUACGGUCCCAGUUCCGGUACACCUCCACUUCCGUCCCGCCCCUCUGCUUGCGUUACCCCGUUCGGUGGUUGGGGGCGCUAUGGGUCGGGUGUAAGCGCGUGCUUUCGGUCGGUCAAUGCUUCGGAGCAGCGCUAUUGGGCAGUCCGGCGGGAGGGGGCGGGGCCAUGCAGAUCAGUAUGCAGAUCGCUCCGCGCGCAACAUGCCGGGGCACGCUAAACAAGGAACAGAAUGCUCGUGGAGCCCCGUGA
rnacentral:lncRNA from 1 species